rnacentral:rRNA from 1 species
UACGUAGGGACCAAGCGUUGUUCGGAUUUACUGGGCGUAAAGGGCGCGUAGGCGGCUUAACAAGUCACUUGUGAAAUCUCCGGGCUUAACUCGGAACGGCCAAGUGAAACUGUCAAGCUAGAGUGCAGAAGGGGCAAUCGGAAUUCUUGGUGUAGCGGUGAAAUGCGCAGAUAUCAGGAGGAACACCGAUGGCGAAGGCAGGUCUCUGGGCUGUAACUGACGCUGAGGAGCGAAAGCAUGGGGAGCGAACAGG